GACAGAGGUGCCAAGCGUUAGGCGGAAUCACUGGGCUUAAAGCGUGUGUAGGCGGAUCGUUAAGUACCUUGUGAAAUCCCACGGCUCAACCGUGGAACUGCUGGGUAUACUGGCGGUCUUGAGCCACCUAGGGGCGAGCGGAACAAACGGUGGAGCGGUGAAAUGCGUAGAUAUCGUUUGGAACGCCAACGGUGAAAACAGCUCGCUGGGGGUGUGCUGACGCUGAGACACGAAAGCCAGGGGAGCAAACGGG
rnacentral:rRNA from 1 species